rnacentral:rRNA from 1 species
ACUUGCCUACGGGGCGCAGCAGUAUGGAAUCUUCCACAAUGGACGAAAGUCUGAUGGAGCAACGCCGCGUGAGUGAAGAAGGGUUUCGGCUCGUAAAGCUCUGUUGGUAGUGAAGAAAGAUAGAGGUAGUAACUGGCCUUUAUUUGACGGUAAUUACUUAGAAAGUCACGGCUAACUACGUGCCAGCAGCCGCGGUAAUACGUAGGUGGCCAGCGUUGUCCGGAUUUAUUGGGCGUAAAGCGGGUGCAGGCGGGU